AAAGCCCCCCCCUCUCGUCAACCCCCCCUCGAACUAGCCCUCAUUCAAAAAUAUCAAAAAUAAAGAAAGCACCCAGGGGGCUAAUUUGAGGAUUUAUGGUAACUAGCAGCUAUGCCUCAAGCAAAUGAAAAGACAUUAAAAAGCUGAUGAAUCAAAUAAGAUUUACGGUUUUAGCUAACUAAAUAUGUUUAAGAGCAUUGGAACCACCACUUAUCAAUUUCUAGCCAUUGUUGGAAAACACUUAUCAUUUAUUUGGAUAUUUUCACGGUUCCAAACACGAAAUCGCAAAAAUAAAUUGACCAUUAAACUUUCCUCCGAUAAAACAUAAUCACAAAUUAGAAUGACGAGAAAUCUUGCAAGCAAAAACAUUUUUUGACACUUGCGGAUGUCAUACCCCAAAACCAAGGUAUUCGGUACUUUAAAUUGAUAUAUAUACAUAGUUUAAAGAUAUUUCGCAAUGACUCUUUUUUGUUUUAAAAGGAAAAUUUCAUCCUGACAUCAAGUAUAACAGGGACCAAACAAUAGAUAGUGUUAACUUAAUUUCAUAGUUUGAUCCAGAGCUGACAAUGAUGUUUAGUUAUGAUCAAUUGAAGAGGUUUUACGCAUCUUAUUGUUCCUUGUCACAUUGGGCAAUAAAAAUCCUCUUGGGCAAAAUCUCCCCAAAAUCUUUGUAAAUCCUAUUUUUCUAAAAUGAUCUCCGCUGCAUGGAUAAACUGAUACACCCUUUUUGCCACAGUGUCGUUGGUACCCCUGGGAGUCACGUUGACAUCUUAUAUACAUUCAGAAAUGCAGGGGGGUUGGGGUUCAUUUGCAGUUAUCAAAAUUCACCUUAAGGUAUCAAAUUAAUCAGACCUUUAAUUAUCAGCUAAAACAUUUUGGCAAGACCCAAAAAAAAACAAAUACCUUCUCUUGUUUUCGAACACAUUAGAGGACGCUGGUCAAGAGCAAUUUAGACUGGCUCAACCAAGCUAUACAAAAAUGUUAUCCUUGGUAUAGUUUAAUAUUGAAAAGGGAAACCCUCUUUUAGAUUCAUUUUUUAGCAAUUCAAGUUAGCAGAUUUCUCAAAGUUGUCAAAUUCAAGUUAGCAGAUCUCUCGGAAUUGUCAAAGGUGGAUUUGUUUCAUUUAUAUCAAUAAAAAUGGAAUGCUUAGACAAAAUUCCUAUUUCCAAAAGCUGGUCCCUAGACCAAUAUUGGCAAAUAUGAUACCCUUGGCUACACUUUGGCUUGACCAAAAUAGCAAAAAAAUACUCCCUUGCCUAAACUAGAAGUCCGAAAAAGUAUACGCUUGCUUGCAGCACAUCCUCAAGUUCACUUCUUUUCUAUCAGUACAAUUUUAUAAGAACACGAGCCUCAGAAUUGGUAAAAAAUUAAGAGCAAGCUAAGGCUGAGCUACUGUAAAUUGCAAUCUUGAACAAUCUUGUGAAACGCCCUUUAAGAAAUUUUAUGCUCACAUUCUAAUAAUUUAAGAUUAAAUUUGGAAUAUUUCGAAACAAAUCAGAACAACCAGCCUUAAUUCAACUUAUCUUUACUACCCUCCCCCCUGACUGUGUUACUUUUGACAGCUAUAAAAGAGCACACCUUGCCAAUUAUCCUUAGUCUGCUCUCGAAUCCUAACAGAAAAAGGUGGUCAAGUCUCGUCGUGAGAGAUGGCAAGCUUCCAAAUUACAGAUGUAGAUAUCUUGAUGGACGAUACUGACAUGGUAAAGUCAUUCUACAUUAGUUACAUUAUGCAAUUAUCAUCACACAAUUCUUGAAUACUUGCAAAGCAUUGUACUAAAAGAUAGAUACAAUAAAAAUAUUACACUCUUUUUUCAUAAGAACAAUUUUAUACCAACACGAGACUCAAAAUUGGUCAAAAGUUAAGAACAAAUUAAGAACAAGGUGAGGCUGAGCUACUAUCAAAUGCAAUUUUGAGGAAAGCUUUCUCUCAAAAACGAGGAUUUUCAGCCAUGUGUUGGUACUUUUUCCGUGAAUAGUCAAACAUUUCGCCAUAUGUUGAAACGCACUACCGCGUCUUCUUUGUUACUUGUAUCAAAAAACUUUCGUAAAUGUCUUCAUUUCUCUUUGGUCCUCAAUUUUGUACCUAAAACUUUGUUAUUUGCAUAUCAUUAUUCAAGAAAUCAUGUAAUAGCAUAAGUUGUUGAAUAAGUCCCCACAUUCGAAUAAUCCCUCCUCUUGAGUAAAGUCCCCAGCCAAAGGUUUAUUGAUCGUCGUGAAAUUUCAAAACAAGGUAUCAGGAUAUUUUCUUGUUCAACUCUUUUACUUUUUUGCAGCAUAGCCUGUCCUAGCCUUAAAAUUAAUUUUCAUGACAUUAGAAAUAAAAAAAUUGCAGGACUAUUUAUCUCAGUCACAAGGCCUUCCAAAAUCAGGCAAAAUUUGCGACAGCUUUGGUGAGAAGAUAUGGGGCUGGCUUGAUUGUCAAUGGGUCUCUGGCAAAAGGGGACCUUUCCGUUUGGAAAGGGGUCCUUAUAAUUUUGAAAACAGAAUAUGUAAGCGAAAAUUCUGCCAGAAAUUACAAUUUGGCAAAGCACAUAAGUUACAUGAAAACAACUAUUGGUUUCUUUCACCAGAGGUUUGUACAUUCUUACGACACAUAGCUUACAACGUAAUCUGGGACGGAUUUACGGGGAAUGUGUUUGUGCUAUUGGUUAAAUUUUGUUUUUAAUUCGGUAAAAAGCUUUUUUGGUAGUCAAUAGUAACGAAAUAAUGCCAAUUUUGUUUAACUAGUAACCGUUGGAAAUUUUUGUUUGAAAUGCGAAGAGGUAAAGACAUUUUAGUUUGAAAGUGAAAUUUAAAAUGGGUGUUUCCAUCAUUUUUGAGGCACCUGAAGGGCGUGGCACGAAAAGCCAAUCAUUAUUCAACACCCUCCCCUCCCCAAUCCUUGCAUCUAAAAUCUACCCAUGGAUGUGAUAGAAAAUUACAUGCUAUGUUUUCAAAGCAAUGUAUAAUUUACAUAAAGCAUACAAAAACUACAUCGAUACAAACUAUAAUUGAUCAAAGUAACAACAACUUUCUAUGUUAAAACAUAUUUGAAGUUUGUUGAACAAGACAAUAUUUUUUGUGCAUAGUAUCAAAAUCAUGCAAUAUAGCAGUUUCAUUAUUGAUUUCUCAGGUGCAAAUCUCAAAUGGAAAACUUUUGGAUGAAAACGAAAUGCUGUAUAUGGUCAUGCUCGAAAUCCUGAUGUAGAGCUGCUGUGUCAACGAAGAAAAUGCACUAAAGUUAAUAAAAAUAUCUUCAAUCUAACAAGUUACUUCAAGUGCAAUCGCCCAGCAGUUUCAUUAGCCAUAGCAUUCACGUUGGCAAGGCUUUUUAGACGUUCAAGAAGUAGUAUUGAGCGUAUGCAAAAUGUUAUAAUUACUAUUAUCCUUUCCAUUUCUUUUUUUGUCUGAUGGCUAAUACAAGUACAAGUGUAAUCAGAACGGAUGUCAUGCUACUAUUUUAGCUGCUUCAAACUUCCUACUCUGUCACGAAAAGAAGGAAAAAAUUAGUAACUACUUGUUGCUUCAGCCUAGCCCAUCUACUUCUGCAAGUCUACAGAAUUCUCAAAAACAUGUUAGAAAGCAUAUAGGAAAGCUUACAAAUAUGCAUAAAAUUAGAUUAUUUUACUAUAAUAAAUGUAUGGUGCAGUUGAGAAAACUGCCAUGUAUUGCUGCUGCUGGCUGAUUUGCUGCUGGCUGGUGGCAACCAGUGUACAGCUGGAAUCACGUCGUAAGUCCAAAUUAUUUGUUAGAGUCCGACAAGCUCCUUCCCCCCUCCCAUUCUAGCGUACAGCUGGUAGAAAAAAUAGAUUGCAAACAUUGAUAUGCAUAUCAACACACCACAUUAUAAACAUUGAUACAUUUUCCUUUCCAUUCUCUAGCAUAACAGCUGGAUACAUAAUACACUAAGAUUAUAACUACUAACAGUAACAUUGUGAAUCUUUGAUUACUUACAAUAACUAGGAGUGAUACAAAACAUUUUGAUGUGUUUACCAACUAUAGUUCAAUUGCUUUCUAUAACUAAUACAAAUUCUAGUUCAUUUUCCUUAUAUCAUAUCAUUCUGUAGAAAAUUGUUUCUUAUCCUUUUCUACCUUUGGUUUUUUUAUAUUCUGAUAUGCAAAAACUUUUUCAUUUCUGAUUUGCUUAUUUUUCAUACUCAAAGGCAUCAUGCUGGUAGUCUCACGGCACAGCAAUAUGGUUCUAUCGCUGAAUGAUGUCGCAAAUGCCAAGUGUUUGACAGAACACCGUUUGCAAGUCCACGAAGGGCUGCAGCAGGGGUCGCUGAUAUAGGAAGAGUCGAAGAGGUAUACUUUCUAAAUUUACGUGUCAUUUAGGUUUUACUAACGUACUAUUUACUUACUAUACAUCUGCUAACAAUUCACAUUUCUUCGGAUUCAUAUCGGCUGUGAGAAGAUUCACUUCAUCCGUUGGGUUUGCAGAAGAGAGUGCAUAAUACCUUUUAUAUGUGAACCUCCUAUAAAAUUUGAUAGUGGCAGCAAUGUUUAUUCUAAUUUGGUUUCAUCAAUUAAAUGUAGGUUGAAAGGUAGAAAAAUUUGUGUUGAGUUCAAAAGAGACUUGCUUGAUGAAGAUGAAAUUUACAGGAAUGAUCUGUGCACAAUAUCCAGUAGGUCCUUGAUUUUAUUUUAGACUGUUCCAUGUAGGUAUGAUCUGCGUUCGCAACUCGCAACGAACCGAGUUGGCAAAUAAAGAAGAGGAGCGUAGUUCAGACAUUAGCACAAACUCACCCUCAGAAGAAUCCUCUGUGUUUAAAAUUCUGGAGAACAAAUCUGCUGAAAAUCUGAAAAGUAGCCCUCCAAUGGCCCUGCUUAGCAAAGAAGAGAAGAUUUCAAGACAGUCCAUCAGUCAGCCAAAAGGUUUCAAAAUUCUCGACCAGGUAUUAGUUAGUGAUUGUAUCAGUCAAGUAGCUUUUCGCAGUUCAUGCAAGAACCCGGAUAGCCAACUUGUCCUUCUUCAAAUUAAUACAAAUAAACAAGGAUUAGCUGAGGUUUUAUAUCUAAAAUGCAGCUUAUGUCAAACUUCAACAGAACUAAAAACAUCCCAAAUAGCUAAAGAGAGUUCAGUGUCUUAGGUGAACUUCAGAUCUGUUUAUGCUGCACAGAGAUUUGGUUUUGCAGCUGUUGAAGAGUUUUGCACUAUAAUGAACUUACCCAAACCAGUUUCAAAGAAAUCCUACAAUAAUAUUAGCAAGAUGUUAAACAAGCAGCGCAAGAAACAAGCAGUAAGAAACAUGAAAGAUGCUGCAAGCCGUCUGAUUGAUUUAACCAGGGAAAACAAUCCUGAGGAUGUUGAGGUCGCUGAAUCUGGAGCUGUGAUCUGUAAUGUUGCUGUCACUGUUGAUGGUACAUGGUAGAAGAGAGGUCGCAGUUCCAAGAUUGGUGUCAUAUUUGUACUCUCUGUAGAGACAGGUGAAGUAUUGGACUAUGAAGUGAAAAGCCUUUAUUGUCAUGAAUGUGUCACAAACAAAAUAAAAGAGAAAAAUGUGAGAAAUGGCGCACACAAAACCAAAAUGAAUCUGUAUAUGGUUUGUUGUGGUCAAAAUGCCCCAAAGCAAACUUUUUUGGAGGAAGAAGAGUAGAGACAGCAGUUUCUGAAACCAUCUGCCAUGUCAAUAGUGGAGCUGCCACCAAGGCUGCUGUGGUCGAGGAAUGUGGUUUUGAACAUGGUAAAAAUAUGUUGUCUGGCUUCAGAAAGACUGACAAAGAAAGAAUAAGAAGUGCAGAAACAAAGGUAUCUGAAAAGUACCGCCUUCAUAGUAGAAAGUGCAGAACUGACAAAAAUUCUAAAGGGGAAUCCAACAGCAGUUCUGCCACUUACCAGGCUGGUGCAUUUGGGCUUUCUUCUACUCCAGAAACAGGGUUUGAAAAACUACAAAAUAAGGUAACAAAUAAUAAGAUAAAAGAAGGGAAAAGAAAAAAGAAGGCCUGUUAAAGAAACAAGCCAAAUCCUUCCACAGUUCCUGCUCAUGAAGCUAUUUCUGUUGAUGAAAUUUAAGUGACAGUCUUUUACUGAAUAUUAAUCCUUUAUGGUCAUAAUAUGGCAUCUGAUAAUUUAUUUAUAAAUUUUUGAUUAAUCCUAACUUCUCCAGUCUGCUAGUCCAUCAAACUUGUAUUAUUGUACCAUCACUAAACUAACUAGCUAACUUCUCCAGUCUGCUAGUCCAUCAAACUUGUAUUAUUGUACCAAGUUAUACACGGUGUCACAUAGUGUACUGGUGUCACUAUCUUGCAAAGAUGUAUCCCAUCUUUGUUACAAAAAAGCCUUUUUGAGUAGCUCAUUACUGAUGCAAAAAGUUUUUGCAUCAGUAAAAUAAAUUGAUGGCAUUACAGGAACAGGUUAAAUGGCAUCUGGCUAUUAUGAAAAGAUCCUUCCCUCAUUUUCUUAUAAUCAUACGCUAUAAAAUUUUCAAAGUUGAUUUUAUGAAAACUACAUUUUUCAUGCCAAUGAAACUUGUCCUGAAGAUAAUUGCUGACAGGAAGAUGAUAGAAGGCUAUUUUUUUGUACAGUUGUCUUUUCUGUACAUUCUAUACACUGAAUAAAACAUUUUUUAAAACUGUUUUCAUUCAGGGGGUAAGACAUUUAAGAAUUACGUUUUUGUGUGUGACCCCCCAGAAAAUUGAACUUUUUCAAAAUUAAUUCAUUUAGUGUAUAGAGCAUAUAAAAUAGUAUACAAUUGCUGAAAAUCAACUCCCCAUUGCUUUUAGUUUUAAGUAUAUUUGUUGGAAACAAAACGGACUGACCUUUUUCAUGACAUUACCGUUACCCCCGUGUUAAUUAUGGUCUUUUUCCAACUUUUCUAUUGUAUCUUGAUAAGCAAAGACUAACUACUAUUUGUGUAUCUUUUCAUGAGAUUUGGUACAGUAUGUUCUUUACUUGUGACAAAAAAGUAAAAUAUGGAUAUUUCAGAGCUACAGGGUAUACUGCUACCUUAACAGUGCUACACCUUGUAUCACAAACUCAAUUAAACGUAAAAGUCGCAGGAAUGAGAUGUUUAUACCUUUGUUGACACGCUAAUCCCUCUUCUUUUUCGAAUCACUGUUUUAUUAUAGCUCAGGAAAAAUAUUUUCCAAAUAUUGUGUUUGAAAAAAUUGUUUUAAUUCUUCUUAAAUGCAAAUGAGAAAGUGCUCUCUUUCUAUCAACUACCUUUUGAGUUAUGUGGCAUCUGAUUUGUUUUCCUUUUCCAAAUUAGGGAUUUCUUUUGGCAUGGGCAGUCCAUUUUGAGAACAGAUGGUGACAGCUGGAAGAGCAUAGUUCCUUCCAUAAGACAGUUUCCUUUGGAGUGCCUUCCACGAAAGCAACAGAGAUGGUGCGACGGAAUGGAACUUGUCUUAUUUAUAGAGGCCCUUUAUCUACAAAGCAUGGACCAGAAAAGGGAACUAAAGGACAGUUUGUCCGAAGUAAUUGAGACGCAAACCAAGUCCUUUUUAGACAAGAAGCCGCUUAUUGAUAGGCUGGAGAAAAAUAUGGCAAACAAAAUCAAAUUAAACGAUGCCCAUGACUUGCUUCACUAGUCCAGAAGCAUAAUGGAAAAUGCCUACUCGAGGCCGAUUUAUUUUGGAAAGGCCGGCUCUUCAUGCACCAGAAAGCCGCUGAAAGUCAGGGACCCAGAGCUGACCAUUUGUGCUAAAGGACACAAAAUACCGAAAAAUAUGUUUUCGUCCACCCUUCAGGAGUGGCUCGACUAUGGUACGUUUUUUCAUUCAUAAGAUUAUAUGUAGCAUUGGCACCAAUAACUAUUAUUAAUUAUUCUUUACCAUAUUUUGAUAUAAACAUGUAUCAGGCACUGCCUAUCCUGAAUGCCUUAAAUGAAAUGCCAAGAUACGCUGUGCCACAAGAGGCUUUGUUAGUCUAUACGGUUAGAUUUCUUUAAUUUUCAGCCAUACCUGUCUCUCGACCCUUAAAUCUCUAAAUCCAAUUCACUUAUUAUGUAAAUUUUCAUGUAUAAGGGGGGGGGGGUGUCGAAUAAUAAACCUUGACCGCAAUGGCAAAAAAUGCUAGAAACAAAAGGCAGCUAAUAGCUCUAAUAGUAGGUUGAUUUUUUUUUUUAAUUUUUUUCACGGUUGAUUGAUUUUCUUUAUUUUUUUUAUCUUUUCCAUAAUUCAUUGAUUUUAUUUUUUUUUUAUUUUUAUCAUGGUUGAUUUUUUUUUAAUUGUUUUCAUGGUUGAUUGAUUUUCUUUAUUUUUUUAAUUUUUUUCAUUAAUGAUUGAUUUUCUUAAAUUUUUAAUUUUUUUUAUUGUUGAUUGAUUUUCUUUAUUUUUUUAAUUUUUUUAAUGGUUGAUUGAUUUUCUUUAUUUUUCUUAAUUUUUUUCAUUGUUGAUUGAUUUAUCUUUAUUUUUUUUAAUUUUUUUCAUGGUUGAUUGAUUUUCUUUAUUUUUUUUUUUUUUAUCAUGGUUGAUUUUUUUUUUAAUUGUUUUCAUGGUUGAUUGAUUUUCUUUAUUUUUUUAAUUUUUUUCAUUAAUGAUUGAUUUUCUUAAAUUUUCAAUUUUUUUCAUGGUUGAUUGAUUUUCUUUAUUUUUUUAGGUUUUUUCAUGGUUGAUUGAUUCUUUUUAUUUUUCUUAAUUUUUUUCAUUGUUGAUUGAUUUAUCUUCAUUUUUUUAAUUUCUUUCAUGGUUGAUUGAUUUUCUUUAUUUUUUUUAAUUUUUUCAUGAAUGAUUAAUUUUCUUUAUUCUUUUAAUUUUUUUCAUGGUUGAUUGAUUUUUUUUAUUUUUUUUAAUUUUUUUCAAGGUUGAUUUUAUUUUCUUUAUUUUUUUUAGUUUUUUCAUGGUUGAUUGAUUUUCUUUUUUUUUAAAUUUUUUUCACGGUUGAUUGAUUUUCUUUAUUUUUUUUAAAUUUUUUCAUGAAUGAUUGAUUUUCUUUAUUCUUUUAAUUUUUUUUCAUGGUUGAUUGAUUUUUUUAUUUUUUUUUUAAUUUUUUUCAAGGUUGAUUUUAUUUUCUUUAUUAUUUUAAUUUUUUUUCACGGUUGAUUGAUUUUCUUUAUUUUUUUAAUUUUUUUCAUGGUUGAUUGAUUUUCUUUAUUUGUUUUAUUUUUUUUCAUGGCUGAUUGAUUUUCUUAAUUUAUUUUCAAUUUUUACAUGAUUGAUUGAUUUUCUUUAUUUUUUUAAUUUUUUUUUGGCUGAUUUGAUUUUCUUUAUUUUUUAGUUUUUUUCAUGAUUGAAUGAUUUUCUUUAUUUUUGUAAAUUUUUUUCAUGGUUGAUCCAUUUUCUGUAUUUUUUUUAAAUUACUUUCAUGAUUGAUUGAUUUUCUUUAUUUUUUUAAUUUUUUUCAUGGUUGAUUGAUUUUCUUUAUUUUUUCAAGUUUUUUCAUGAAUGAUUGAUUUUCUUCAUUCUUUUAUUUUUUUUAUUGUUGAUUGAUUUUAUUUUUUUUUUAUUUUUUUCAUGGUUGAUUGAUUUUCCUUUUUUUUAUUUCUUUCAUGGUUGAUUGAUUUUUUUUUAAUUUUCCAUGGUUGAUUAAUUUUUUUCAUGGUUGAUUGAUUUUUUUUUAAUUUUCCAUGGUUGAUUAAUUUUUUUCAUGGUUGAUUGAAUUCUUUUCAUGGUUGAUUGAUUUUUUUUCAUGGUUGAUUGACUUUUUUUUUCAUGGUUGAAUGAUUUUUAAUUUUUUUUCAUUGUUGAUUGAUUUUUUUGAAUCUUUUUAAAUAGUUUAUGGUUGAUUGAAUUUGUUCAUGUUUUUCAUGGUUGAUUGUUUUUUUUUAAUUUUUUUUCAUGGUUGAUUGACUUUUUUUCAUGGUUGAUUGAUUUUUUAAUUUUUUUUUCAUUGUUGAUUGAUUUUUUUCAAUCUUUUUAAAUUGUUCAUGGUUGAUUGAAUUUUUUCAUGUUUUUUAUCGUUGAUUGUUUUUUUUAAUUUUUUUUCAUGGUUGAUUGAUUUUUUGUCAUGGUUGAUUGAUUUUUUUUAUUUUUUUUUUUCAUGGUUGAUUGGUUUUAUUAAUCUACUUCACUUUUUUCAUGGUUAAUUGUUUUUUUCAUGGUUGUAUGAUUUUUUUCAUGGUUGAUUGUUUCUAAUUAUUUUUAUUAAUUUUUUCAUGGUUGAUUUUUUUUUAAUUUUUUAUGGUUGAUUGGUUUUAUUUAUUUUUUACUUUUUUCAUCGUUGAUUGGUUUUAUUUCUUUUUUUUUCUUUUCAUUUUUUAUAUUUUUCAUGGUUUCCGAAGUUUCAGGAUUGUUUCCGACUUUUUACGAUUUUUCGGGAUUUUUCUGGAUUUUUUGGAUUUUUAUGGGGAUUCCGAUUUUUAAAGAUUUUUUCAAAUUUCUUCAAGUUUUUCUGGUUUUUUUAGAGUUUUUGAUGUUUUUCAAGAUACUUUCCGAUUACUUUAAAUUUUUAAGGAUUUUCAGGCAUUUUUUGGGAUUUUUCUCAAUAUUUUACCAAAUUUUCGGAAAUUUUUCAGAUUUUAUUUCGUUUUUUGCGGAUUUUUUUUUCAAUUUUUUCCGAUUUUUCGGGAUUUUUUUGGAUUCUAUUCUGAUUUCUCCAAAUUUUUUUUGGUUUUCUGAUUUUUCCGGACAUUUUCCGAUUUUUUAUAGCUUUUCAGGACUUUGAAGAAU